rnacentral:lncRNA from 1 species
AUCUUGAUAACAUAAACGAAGAGUGUAGUGACUAUGUACAAAUCCUAUAUAACAUGAAAAGGGAGUUUCUUAAAUAUUUAUCGUUUUUUUUCAAUGGUAUAGCUAAAAAUGAAACUAAAACAAGGACUAUGUAUGUUGAUUGCGUUUCGAAUGAUGUAGAAUCUGAAGAGGGAAAGUGGAAACUUCCAAACGGGUUGUGUGGGAUUGCAAAUGGUUAUACAAAAAAGGAUGUACAAGUAUGCGACCUGACACAAGAUAGUAUAGCAUCCACUUAUGUAGCGGCAGAAAAUGGAAAGCUAAACGAACAAAACGAACAAAACGAACAAAACGAACAAAAAGAACAAAAAGAACAAAAAGAACAAAAAGAACAAAAAGAACAAAAAGAACAAAAAGAACAAAUUAACACAAAUAUUACUGACAAAAAAAAAAAAAAAAAAAUAUUAAAUGAUAUAAAAAAUAACAAUUGUGGUGAAUUAAAAAUUUCAUAUAAUAAUAAUGAAGUAAAUAAAGGAUGUUAUAAUGAACAGUAUAAAAGCGGUAGUUAUAAUGGGCAGAAGUAUAAAAAAAUAUAUAUAGAAAAAGAACCAUAUAUGUAUAUAUAUAGCAAUAAGACUGAUAUGUGUGGUGGGAACGGACUGCAAAUAAAUAAGAAUGUUUUGAAUGAAUACAACUCGAUAAUAAAUAAAAGUAAGUGUAACGGUAGCAACGAUAACGACUACGACCGUUACAGCAACUAUGACCACAACUACAAAAAUAACAAUGAUAAUAAUAAUAACAAUAAUAAUAAUAAUAAUAACAAUAAUAAUAAUAAUAACAGUAACAAUAAUAAUAAUAAUAACAGUAACAAUAAUAACAGUAACAAUAAUAAUAAUAAUAAUAAUAAUAACAGUAACAAUAAUAACAGUAACAAUAAUAAUAAUAAUAAUAAUAAUAAUAACAAUAAUAAUAAUAAUAAUAACAGUAACAAUAAUAACAAUAAUAAUAAUAAUAAUAAUAACAACAACAACCCAACUGUCAGAAAAUACAGAAGUAGAAAACCCAAAGUAGUUAUUAUGAACAAAGAUAACACAGAAUUAGCAAAUUUAUUUUUGACAAUUAAAAAUAAAUAU